rnacentral:rRNA from 1 species
AUUGAACGCUGGCGGCAGGCCUAACACAUGCAAGUCGAACGAGUGGCGGACGGGUGAGUAAUGUCUGGGAAACUGCCCGAUGGAGGGGGAUAACUACUGGAAACGGUAGCUAAUAACGCGUACCAUCGGAUGUGCCCAGAUGGGAUUAGCUUGUAGGUGAGGUAACGGCGCACCUAGGCGACGAUCCCUCGCUGGUCUGAGAGGAUGACCAGCGACACUGGAACUGAGACACGGUCAAGACCACUACGGUAGGGAGCAGUGGGGCAGAUUGCACAAGUGGCGCAAGCCUGAUGAAGCCAGGCCGGGUGUAUGAAGAAGGCCUUCGGGUUGUCAAUUACUUUCCGCGGUGAGGCGUGACCCGCAGAAGAAGCACCGGCUAACUCCGUGCCAGCAGACGCGGUAAUUC